CCUACGGGAGGCAGCAGUGAGGAAUAUUGGUCAAUGGACGAGAGUCUGAACCAGCCAAGUAGCGUGAAGGAUGACUGCCCUAUGGGUUGUAAACUUCUUUUAUAUGGGAAUAAAAUGUUCCACGUGUGGGAUUUUGUAUGUACCAUAUGAAUAAGGAUCAGCUAACUCCGUGCCAGCAGCCGCGGUAAUACGGAGGAUCUGAGCGUUAUCCGGAUUUAUUGGGUUUAAAGGGAGCGUAGGUGGAUUGUUAAGUCAGUUGUGAAAGUUUGCUGCUCAACCGUAAAAUUGCAGUUGAAACUGGCAGUCUUGAGUACAGUAGAGGUGGGCGGAAUUCGUGGUGUAGCGGUGAAAUGCUUAGAUAUCACGAAGAACUCCGAUUGCGAAGGCAGUUCACUGGACUGCAACUGACACUGAGGCUCGAAAGUGUGGGUAUCAAACAGGAUUAGAUACCCGUGUAGUC
rnacentral:rRNA from 1 species